AAUAUUACAAGUGCGUAUGAGUGAUGAUGGUUAAAUAAUCUCUUAGAGCCUGGGUGAUAACAAAACAACAAGAAGGAGGUCCAAAUCUACACAGCGUGUUCCUCUAACAACGCAGCAGUCGCAUUAAAAAGCUUUGAUUAUGCGCUACCCCUAUCCCUACAGAAUGGAAUUUUCCUGAAAGCAUUCCUGUAGAAGAUCUGCCCCUAUGGGGGCAUCAAGUUCAAGAGCUGUAGUUUUUACAGUUGUGUUUUAACUAACUUCUACAGGCAAUAAGUUCACUUAGCAUAUGGACACAGACAAACAAACAGCUAUUCUUUCGGAACAACAAAAGAGGGCCAGGCUAAGCCACAUAGAUUCAGCCCGUUUAUUAGAAGCUGGAAAAAAAAAGGAUCAAGACCUGGUUGUACCACAGCUACCUCUGACAGCUAAGGAACCAGUUUGGCGUCUGGUUUGCCUGUUGUUUUACUGCUGACCUUCAGAUCAACUUUAACCCCUGACUUCUACGAGCAUAUAUCAUGACAAGAGCCUGUUUAACACAAAUGGUGCCCAACCAAAGGGGAGAAAAGAGAGUCAAGAUUUCCUUUUUUACGAAGAAUUCGGUUUUUCACCCCUCUUUUCUCAGUCUCCACAGGUGAAAUCCUUCCUAGCAGCUGGCUUAUGAAAUAUUGUGGUGGGAGGCCUUAAUAAGCUGAAAGCACCCUCAGCUGGAGAUAAAUGUAUGCAAAUGAGAUGCACAAACAAAGGAGCUUGGACAGAGAAAUAUCUGCAGUUCCAGCUAAAUGCUGCCUACAGCAGGAAGAUGAACAGCUUUGAUAAAAUGGUAACAAAAAGCACCUUUUUAUCCUCCAGCAUGUUUUACAUUGCAAUAGACCAUUGUCAUUGUAAGCCAUUGGAGCAUGCAGAGGUUUUCUGCACUAUUUCAGCAACCUGGUUAAACAUUUGUUUUAGAGCAUUCAUUGAAUAUAAUAAACAUGCUUCUCUAUAUGCUGA